rnacentral:rRNA from 1 species
UACGAAGGGGGCGAGCGUUGUUCGAAAUUACUGGGCGUAAAGGCGCGUAGGCGGCCGAUCAAGUCAGAUGUGAAAGUCCUGGGCUUAACCUGGGGACUGCAUUUGAUACUGAUUGGCUUGAAUGCAGGAGAGGAUAGCGGAAUUCCCGGUGUAGAGGUGAAAUUCGUAGAUAUCGGGAGGAACACCAGUGGCGAAGGCGGCGAUCUGGGAAGAUACUGACGCUGAGGUGCGAAAGCGUGGGAGCAAACAGG